rnacentral:lncRNA from 1 species
UCUAAAUAACAACAUGGAGCAAAAUUUCCUCCCUUGCCCAUUCCUCUUCCUUACUGAUUAGAUUUUUAUCUUUGCCAUGCUGCUGAAAUGGGAUCCAAGUGGCCUCAGAGUCUCAUCUACAGGGAACAUUACCAAUCUCUUCAAGACAUAAUUACAGGCUUACAUAUGCUUAAUUUAAUUAACAGGUUAAAGACUUCUGUGUAAAAACUCUGUGAUUUCCAGGCAACAUUCUGGAAGCAGCAAGAGAGAAUUACAAUUGAUCUGGACUUGAGAGUUUCAUGUAUAGACUGCUCUCUGGAGGUACAGAGAGAAAAGCAAGUCUACAGCUUCACUCUGUAGAGUGAAGAGAGCUUAUUUUAGAUAACCCAGACAAAGCAAAGUCUGUACAUUUUUCAUCUCAAAUGCCAAGUGGGUUACUACAAGCCCAUCACCCUCAACACUCCCCACCACAUACUGCUCUAUCUUUGACUUGUGAUCUAUUCUCAUCAGCAAACAAGAUGGGAGAAAAAUAAAAAUACAUUCAAGGUAAGAUUUGCUCCCCUGACACACCCUCAUUUGGAUAUAUAUGUGUCCUGGUUCAUGUACCAAGAUGCCACCUCUUGCUCUGGGUCAAAAGAAGUUGAUGUUUCUUCCUGCUUUUCUGAAAACAUUGCUGAUAAUUGUACAACUCAUAGUAAUUUUUCUCUCCUACACCAACACAUGUGAUCUGGAAAUGGCCAUCAGGGGUCAUAGGAAUGCAGUCAUGAUUCUUUUGUAUUCUUGUGCAUUGGUUCCUGGUUUCUCGUUUCUGCUGUGUAUCCUUACUGUGUUGCUAGUGUUGUAUUGUUGGCAUAUUAUUAAGAUUUCUGAAAAGACUUAUGAAAUUUAAGGAUAUGAGAAUGGAGCCUUAAAUAAUUCAGAAUAUUCUAGAAAUAAUCUUGUUUACAUAGAUACAUCUGAUUAUGUGGGGAUAUUUUAAUUCCACUUGAAUUCAAAUGAAAAAGUGCCAUAGCUUUCUGGCAUAACAAUUUCACCUAUCCUUUUUCUUGGCAGGGUUUACACAGACAUUUUAAACAUAUCAUUAAACAAUUAGCAUUAUUCUCUUUGUCAGUAGAAAAAAAUAUAUAAAACUCAAGAGCCUCAAUAGUCAAAUGCUAAGACAGUGAUCUUUCAUUCCCUUCAAUAAGUUGAACUCUUUUUAAUUCUAAGGCAUGCACUGUCACCACACUAAUUGCAUUGUAGAUAGCUCUUAGCUUUGCUCUGAUUAUUAACAAAUAUAUUUGUAGGAAAAAAAAUGCUGUGAGAUCUUUAAAUUAAUACAAAAGAGCAAUAUCUGAUGUAGUUAAAUUUUUAUGUGUUUAGAGUUGCUUAAAUUUGUCUGUUUGGCAAAGUGGGAGCAUGAUCUUAUUAAGCCAGAAUAGGUGAUUCAGAUAUACACACAUAAAGACUCACAGAAAACAGUCAAUACUCCUAAACCCAAACAUCCUUGAAAGUGUAUAUUUUGAGCCUGUGAAUGAGAGAAUGACAGUAAUUUUUUAUGCUUAGAAAUUGAAUUUAAUAUCCCACCAGUGUAAAAAUAUAAGAUCAUUUAACACUCACUUUACUUAUUUUGUGCCAGAUACUGCGUUCUGCAUGAGAGAUCCAAAAAUGAAAAGACAGUGCUCCUUUUUAUAACUUACAUUUUAUCAUAUAGAUAGACAUGUAAAAAACUACGGUACAAUAUAUGUUCAACAAUAAUGGUAUAAUGGAAGAAUAUCAAAUCACCUUCUGGGAUUAUGGUUUAAAUAUAUUAUCAUUAAUACCCAAAUAUUGAUGGCCUAAUGCCAAGGGAACCGGGAGAUUUCUGAAACUACUUUAAGCUGGAGAUCCAUGUGAAAUCUUGUAAAGUUUAGAGGCUUGAUAUUUCUGUAUUUUAGAUACAAAGGAAUAGGGGGGAAAAGGAAGUGGACUUUCACAGCUAGGUUGCUUGAGGUCCAGUGUUAAUUAUGUAAGUGAAUCAGCAACUCCAGUUCAUACAGGAAAUUGAUUGAGGAAGGGACAAAUAAGUGUUCUAGGCAGCGUCACUUACAAAGGCCUGGAGAUGUAAAAAUUAUAGUAAUUGGAGAAUUGCAAAUGGUUUGUUGCUACUAGAAUUUGGAAUGUAAUUUUUAAGAGAUUGCAAAAUAAAAAAUAAUAAUAAUAAAAAGAAUAGUCUGGGCUGGGUGCGGUGGCUCACACCUGUAAUCUCAGCACUUUGGGACGGCCAGGCAAGUGGAUCAUCUGAGGUCAGGAGUUCACUGCUACCAGCCUGGCCAACAUGGUGAAACCUCGUCUCUACUAAAAAUACAAAAUAUUAGCCAGGCGUGGUGGCAGGCGCCUGUAAUCCCAGCUACUUGGGAGGCUGAGGCAGGAGAAUCACUUGAGCCUGGGAGGCAGAUGUUGUGGUGAGCCCAGAUAGCACCAUUGCACUCCAGCCUGGGCAACAAGAGCAAAACUCUGUCUCAAAAAAAAAAAAAAAAAAAAAAGAAAAAAAAAGAAAAGAAAAGAAGAAAGAAAAGACUAGUCUGGUAUACAAGACCUUAGCUCAUAAAACACUUCAUAGAAUAAGUUGUGGAGUUUUCAAACAUUUUAUUUGGAGGAAGAUUUAGGGGUUUUUAAGGAAAGGAAUGGUAUAGUCCAAUUUAGAAGCUGUGUAGACCAUCCCAUCAGUAGUGUGGUGUAUGAUUUAGAGAGAAGUGAAAGCUCCUGGCUGUACCAAAGGGAGAUAAUGAUAGAAUGAAAGAGUGUUGAGAAGUGUGAUAUGAGGCCAAAAAUUAAGGCUCAAUAUCAUCUGCUGCCUUGAUAUCUGGUAAAAUCUGAAGGACCUUGAAUGGCAUAUCCACAAGUUUCUCUUACCUCUCUGCUCCAGUGGAUAAGGUUUUCUAGCUAAAAAUCCUCCUGAUUAAAUGGACUCAUUGCAGUUUCUGCUCAUCCCUGAGUAGCGGGUUUUGGUUCCCUGACAAUCUGCAGAGGAAUUCAGACAAGCCCAUCACAUCUUCCUGUGGGAGCUAGCAGUGACCCCUCUCUAUUGGUACUCCAAAACCUGCCUCCCAUAGCCCCUGAUUGUUCACUGUGUUCCUAAGUGCAAGCCCCAUGGGGCUGCAUGGCAUGGGAUGUCCUCCUCUCUGGGCUGUGUGUACAGUUGAUCUCAUCUGUCUUGUGUUGAGUGUUGUGUGUUCAGCCAUUUUUUUAUAACCCCAGGGUAGGAAUCCCUCUCUCACCAAUGGGGUGAAAAGAGGACCUCAUAACAAGUACACGUGGAGAGUAGAGCUCAGAGCUGUUCUGUCUAGUAGCUUUUAGCCACAUGUGACUAUUAAAUGCUUGAAAUGUGGCAAGUCCUAAUUUUUAUGUGCCAUAAGAGUAUAAUACAAACUGGAUUUUGAAGACUAUGAACACAAUAAUAUAAAUAUCUCAGUAAACAUCUUUAUAAUAAUUGCAGGUUGGUAUAUUUUACAUAUGUUGUUGUUGAAUAAAAUAUUAAAAUAAUUUUCAUUUUUAUAGUCUUCUAAAGUGGUUACUGGAAAACUAAAAAUUAUAUACAUGGCUUCCAUUUGUGACUCAUGUUAUAUUUGUACUCUGAGACUCUGGUUUAGUGAAAUGGAUUCAGGAAGAGAUGCAGCAUAACUUGGGUGUAUGGAAGAGAGAGAUUUCUAGAAAGGACUAAAAUGUUGGUCUGGUUGGGUAUAGUCAUUAAAAAGACAAAAAGAUAGAGGAGCAGAAACUUUACUUGCGUGAUGAUUUUGGAUGUCCUCAUUUGAGAUGUCAGGCGGAUAUUUAGUUGAAGAUGAACAGUGUAAGGUGGAUACUAGGUCUGGAAUUCCUGAGGAAGGUUGGUGCUGAAGAUACAGAUUUUGGAGUUGUUACUUCUGGCAUCUAAAGUCAUGGAUAAAAUUUCUAGAGCUAGAAUGUAGAGCAAACUGAAAAGGUGGGUGGUACAUAUUAAAAUACAUAAAAGGGUUAAGUAAAUUAGUACUGCUGAACACACUUGAGUGUUAAUUAAUUAACUAAAAGUUAAUUAACCUUUAG